rnacentral:rRNA from 1 species
AGAGUUUGAUCCUGGCUCAGAUUGAACGCUGGCGGAAUGCUUUACACAUGCAAGUCGAACGGCAGCACGGGAGCUUGCUCCUGGUGGCGAGUGGCGAACGGGUGAGUAAUACGUCGGAACGUAUCCAUGUAAUGGGGGAUAACGCAGCGAAAGCUGUGCUAAUACCGCAUACGCCCUACGGGGGAAAGCAGGGGAUCUUCGGACCUUGCGUUAUUGGAGCGGCCGACGUCUGAUUAGCUAGUUGGUGGGGUAAAGGCCUACCAAGGCGACGAUCAGUAGCUGGUCUGAGAGGAUGAUCCGCCACACUGGGACUGAGACACGGCCCAGACUCCUACGGGAGGCAGCAGUGGGGAAUUUUGGACAAUGGGGGCAACCCUGAUCCAGCCAUUCCGCGUGAGUGAAGAAGGCCUUCGGGUUGUAAAGCUCUUUCAGCUGGAGUGAAACGGUGCGCUCUAACAUAGCGUGCUAAUGACGGUACCAGCAGAAGAAGCACCGGCUAACUACGUGCCAGCAGCCGCGGUAAUACGUAGGGUGCGAGCGUUAAUCGGAAUUACUGGGCGUAAAGCGUGCGCAGGCGGAUUGUUAAGCAAGACGUGAAAUCCCCGGGCUUAACCUGGGAAUGGCGUUUUGAACUGGCAGUCUAGAGUGUGUCAGAGGGGGGUGGAAUUCCACGUGUAGCAGUGAAAUGCGUAGAGAUGUGGAGGAACACCAAUGGCGAAGGCAGCCCCCUGGGAUAACACUGACGCUCAUGUACGAAAGCGUGGGUAGCAAACAGGAUUAGAUACCCUGGUAGUCG